rnacentral:tRNA from 1 species
UAGGUUGAAGCUCUCUGGAAUGAGCGUUUAGCUGUUAAUUAAAAGGUCGUAGGAUAAAGGCCUACCAAUCUAG